GAUUUCUGGCCUGAAACAUUUUGCCGGCCACGGUUUCGUGUGUUAGUGCUUUGUGUUCUGGCCAUCCUUCCAAUCGCUAUUCAGCUUUCUUCAUUGAUUGUUGAGUGGUAUUGGAUCUUUUACUUUGAAAAAAUUAGAGUGUUUAAAGCAGGCUUACGCCGUGAAUACAUUAGCAUGGAAUAAUAAUAUAGGACUUUGGUUCUAUUUUGUUGGUUUCUAGGACUAAAGUAAUGAUUGAUAGGGAUAGUUGGGGGUGCUAGUAUUCAGAGGCCAGAGGUGAAAUUCUUGGAUUCUCUGAAGACUAACUACUGCGAAAGCAUU
rnacentral:rRNA from 1 species